rnacentral:tRNA from 2 species
GCGCCUAUAGUUUAGCUUGGAUAGAACGGUCGGUUGCGGUCCGGCUGGCAGGGGUUCAAAUCCUCUUGGGCGCG